rnacentral:rRNA from 1 species
GACGAACGCUGGCGGCGUGCUUAACACAUGCAAGUCGAACGGAAAGGCCCUGCUUUUGUGGGGUUCUCGAGUGGCGAACGGGUGCGUAACACGUGAGUAACCUGCCCUUGACUUUGGGAUAACUUCAGGAAACUGGGGCUAAUACCGGAUAGGAGCUCCUGCUGCAUGGUGGGGGUGGGAAAGUCUCGGCGGUCGGGGAUGGACUCGCGGCUUAUCAGCUUGUUGGUGGGGUAGUGGCUUACCCAGGCUUUGACGGGUAGCCGGCCUGAGAGGGUGAACGGGCACAUUGGGACUGAGAGACGGCGCAGACUGCUACGGGAGGCAGCAGUGGGGAAUAUUGCACAAUGGGCGGAAGCCUGAUGCAGCAACGCCGCGUGCGGGAUGACGGCCUUCGGGUUGUAAACCGCUUUCGCCUGUGACGAAGCGUGAGUGACGGUAAUGGGUAAAGAAGCACCGGCUAACUACGUG